UAAGAUUUAUACAAUAUGUCUCAAAAUUAAAACUUCUUUUAAAUAGUUUCAGACUGAACAUAAAGGCCCUACACUAUUUUAAAUUGCCGUAGCACCAGUCAGAUGAGACUGGAGCAUGCACAUUGGGAAUGGUGCAAUAGAGAGUAGCUAUGGUGCUUCUUAGUUCCAUCAGGAUCAUAAAACUUAUAUGGUUUGGAAGAACACAUUUCUGUGAAGGAACAACGUUAAUUCUUAAAAACAAACAGUUACCUGACUGUGUUAAACAUUAACCUAACUAACUGAAAACAAAUGGAUAAAAAUGUCCAGCUCUAGGAUUAGUAGGUUUUACAGUCUGUUGGACUGACUAUAGAAGAAGGAGGGUGUUUGGGGGGAAACAUACAGCAGUUUAAGAUCCAGACUGGCUUGUGGCCAUGGAGGAAGUAACAAACAGAAGUUUCUUCCAUACCUAUCCAUGAACAUACAAUAGUAAAUAGUAAAUCCAUGAAACAGCUUUAGAUAAAUUUAAAAUGUACAGAUAGAUACUUUAAAGAUUUGUGUCAGUUCUGAAAAUUCUGAUUUACAAUUUAAUGAUUAAAACAAGCUUUUUAAUGGUUACAACUAUUAAAGAAGCAAAUAUUUUCUUGGAAAAUCUCCCCCCCCCCUGCAUGCACCCUUGCUUACAUUAUAUUAGGAAUUGGUAAAUUGGAAUGUUAUAACUGAGGAAAAUCAAUAAUUUUAGCUAAUAAUACCUUUAAGGGUAAAAAUCUUGAUGUCCAAUUUAUGAUCUUGCAUCCCCCCACCUAACCCCAACCCCCUACCCUUCACACAUCAGUCCUCCCCAAAGAAGUAGGGAUAAAGAAGGUUAAUUUUCGUUAAGUGUUUAAAAAGUUGGAGUUUGUGGCAAAAACUCAGAUCUUUUCCUAUUAUCUCAUGAUUUGUUUUAUGAUUAUGUAUAAAAUUCAAAACAUUUUCCAAAUUUUAAACAUUAAAUAUUCCAUGUAGCUUUUUUCUGCCAAUUACUCGUUUCAGGUUCAUUAAUUUAGAAUUGUUCCAAUAUUGUAUAUUCUGCAAACAAAAAAUCCAUUACUAAAAAAUCAAACAGUGGCUUGGUUAAAAAUCUAAAAUGAAGAACUCCAGAAAUAUUGUAUAUGGUUCUAGUGUAAAUCUAGCUCCAAAGACAAGUUUGACAAGUUUAUAUCUCCUUAACAUGUUUCUACUUUGUAAAAAAUAAAUGUUUUAGAA